GACGAACGCUGGCGGCGUGCUUAACACAUGCAAGUCGAGCGGAGCGGAGAACGGGUGAGUAACGCGUGAGUAACUGCCCCCCUCUCUGGGAUAACAGUUGGACACGGCUGCUAAUACCGGAUAGUGGGGGAUGACUCGCGUCCAAUCAGCUUGUUGGUGGGGUAGUGGCCUACCACGGCGACGACGGGUAGCCGGCCUGCGAGGUGGACCGGCCACAUUGGGCUGAGAGACGGCCCAGAGUCGUACAGGAGGCAGCAGUGGGGAAUAUGGCACAAUGGGGGAAACCCUGAUGCAGCAGCGCCGCGGGCGGGAUGACGGCCUUCGGGGUGUAAACCGCUUUCAGCCAAGACGCGGUAGUGGCAGAAGAAGCACCGGCUAACUACGUGCCAGCAGCCGCGGUAAUUC
rnacentral:rRNA from 1 species